rnacentral:rRNA from 1 species
ACGAACGAACUACAUCGGGACGCUUUGGCCGCCGAGCGAAAAAAAAAACACCAUUGAGCUCGACCUCAGAUCAGGUAGGAGUACCCGCUGAACUUAAGCAUAUCAAUAAGCCGGAGGAAAAGAAACAACAGGAUUGCCCCAGUAGCGGCGAGUGAAGCGGCAAGAGCUCAGAUUUGAAAUCGUGCUAAUUUUUUUGGCACGAGUUGUAGAGUGUAGGCGGGAGUCUUUGUGGAGCACGGUGUCCAAGUCCCUUGGAACAGGGCGCCUGAGAGGGUGAGAGCCCCGUGGGGUGCCGUGCGAAGCUCUGAGGCCCUGCUGACGAGUCGAGUUGUUUGGGAAUGCAGCUCCAAGUGGGUGGUAAAUUCCAUCUAAGGCUAAAUACUGGCGAGAGACCGAUAGCGAACAAGUACUGUGAAGGAAAGAUGAAAAGCACUUUGAAAAGAGAGUGAAACAGCACGUGAAAUUGUUGAAAGGGAAGGGUAUUGGGCCCGACAUGGGGAGUGCGCACCGCUGUCUCUUGUAGGCGGCGCUCUGGGCGCUCUCUGGGCCAGCAUCGGUUCUUGCUGCGGGAGAAUGGGUGCCGGAAAGUGGCUCUUCGGAGUGUUAUAGCCGGCGCCAGAUACCGCGUGCGGGGACCGAGGACUGCGGCUUCUGUCUCGGAUGCUGCACAACGGCGCAAU